rnacentral:lncRNA from 1 species
CGACACUGGCGACCCUGCCGAUGCGCGUCUGAGCCCUGCACACUGCUUCAGCCAUCGGCUUGGCCUCAUCAGAGUGUUUUUCCACAAAAUCGUUUGUUUGAUGGCAGAGUCACACGUUCUUCUAAGUAUCAGUGUGCUGGAACGGUGCUGCCACCCACCAUUAAAAUAGCAAUUUUCCUCCACUCCACUAACGGAAUAAGACGAAAACAGUGGCGGGGCUGACCCUCCCAAGUCACCCCUCUGCUCAGCAGGACCUGACCCGCAGCCCCCGCACCAGGUCAGCUCCUAGGAUCCCCUGCAGCGACGUGGCCCCCACACACCGUCCCCGCCCUGCACCGCCGAGACAGUGGCCAGGGGAGCGGGGCCUCAGCCACCUGUUAGGACAGUUUCGGUGAAAACAUGCGUUCAGGAGAGCCUGUCCCACUCCUCCGGCUGCGGGCUAAAUUGAUCUCGGCAGAGCUUAGCAACAUGGAGUAAUUAAUUAGGAACCAAGCCAUUUCCUGAGUACUCGGACAGAACAGUGACUCAAGCUCCGUGAUUCACUCGCACUGCCCAGGCUGUCUGUCUCCACAGAGUAUGUUCAUUUAUGUUUUCUGUGCUUUGAUGUUCUCUCCGCCUUCUCUUGAAGACAUAUUGGUUUGGAAAAGUGAUUUUUUUUUCUCUUUAGAGUUUUAAUUAUAACACAACCACAGCAAUCCCAUUAACCCCGAGUUUCACCUUGUCAAACACCUCCAGUGGCUUCGCAUCUUCAUAGAAAUG